rnacentral:rRNA from 1 species
GUCCUCUUGAGGAAUAAUUUGAGGUCUGGCCUGCUCACUGACAAGGUUUUAAAGAGCCGCGGUAUUUUGACCGUGCAAAGGUAGCAUAAUCAUUAGUCUCUUAAUUAGGGGCUGGAAUGAAUGGCUUGACGAGAAAUCAACUGUCUCUUAAUAAUUUUUAAAAUUUAACUUUUAAGUCAAAAGGCUUAAAUUUUUCUUUAGGACGAGAAGACCCUAUAGAGCUUGACAUUUUAUUUUUAUAUAGUUUUUGGUUAGUUUUCCUAUAUUUAAUGAUAAUGUUUUGUUGGGGUGACAUGAAGAAUAAAUAAACUCUUCAUUAUAAAAUCAUUGAUUUAUGUUUAUCAUGAUCCAUAAUUUAUGAUCAUAAGAUUAAGUUACCUUAGGGAUAACAGCGUAAUUGUUUUUGAGAGCUCAUAUCGACAAAGCAGAUUGCGACCUCGAUGUUGGAUUAAGAAAAAUUUUGGGUGCAGGAGCCCAAUAAUUAGGUCUGUUCGACCUUUAAAUUCUUACA